CUGAUAAACACUUACAGCACAUAUACUAAGGAAUGAUACAAGAAGAUUAGCACAGUCCCUGCACAAGGUUGACAUGAAAAUUUGUGAAGUGUUCUAUAUUUAA
ensembl:snRNA U6 U6 spliceosomal RNA